GAUGAACGCUGGCGGCGUGCCUAAUACAUGCAAGUCGAGCGAACGGACGAGAAGCUUGCUUCUCUGAUGUUAGCGGCGGACGGGUGAGUAACACGUGGAUAACCUACCUAUAAGACUGGGAUAACUUCGGGAAACCGGAGCUAAUACCGGAUAAUAUUUUGAACCGCAUGGUUCAAAAGUGAAAGACGGUCUUGCUGUCACUUAUAGAUGGAUCCGCGCUGCAUUAGCUAGUUGGUAAGGUAACGGCUUACCAAGGCAACGAUGCAUAGCCGACCUGAGAGGGUGAUCGGCCAAACUGGAACUGAGACACGGUCCAGACUCCUACGGGAGGCAGCAGUAGGGGGUCUUCCGCAAUGGGCGAAAGCCUGACGGAUCAACGCCGGGGGAGGGAUGAAGGGCUUCGGGUCGUAAAACUCUGUUAUUAGGGAAGAACAAAUGUGUAAGUAACUGUGCACAUCUUGACGGUACCUAAUCAAAAAGCCACGGCUAACUACGU
rnacentral:rRNA from 1 species